rnacentral:rRNA from 1 species
GACGAACGCUGGCGGCGUGCUUAACACAUGCAAGUCGAACGGAAAGGCCCUGCUUUUGUGGGGUGCUCGAGUGGCGAACGGGUGAGUAACACGUGAGUAACCUGCCCUUGACUUUGGGAUAACUUCAGGAAACUGGGGCUAAUACCGGAUAGGAGCUCCUGCUGCAUGGUGGGGGUUGGAAAGUUUCGGCGGUUGGGGAUGGAUUCGCGGCUUAUGAGCUUGUUGGUGGGGUAGUGGCUUACCAAGGCUUUGAAGGGUAGGCGGCAUUGGAGGGGGAACGGCCACAAUGGGACUGAGGUACGGCCCAGUCUCCUACCGGAGGCAAUGGGGGAGAAUAUUGCAGAAUGGGGCGGAGUCAGAUGUAGAAACCCCCGGUUCGGGAAGACCGCCUUUGGGGUGUAAACCGCUUUGGCCGGAGACGAAGCGUGAGUGACGGUAAUGGGUAAAAAAGCAACGGCUAACUACGUG